UACGUAGGGAGCAAGCGUUGUCCGGAAUCAUUGGGCGUAAAGCGCGCGUAGGUGGCUUCGUAAGUCCGUUGUGAAAGUCAAAGGCUCAACCUUUGAAAGCCGAUGGAUACUGCGGAGCUAGAGUACGGAAGAGGCGAGUGGAAUUCCUGGUGUAGCGGUGGAAUGCGCAGAUAUCAGGAGGAACACCAAUAGCGAAGGCAGCUCGCUGGGACGUUACUGACACUGAGGCGCGAAAGCGUGGUGAGCAAACAGG
rnacentral:rRNA from 1 species